rnacentral:rRNA from 1 species
GACGAACGCUGGCGGCGUGCCUAAUACAUGCAAGUCGAACGCUUCUUUUUCCACCGGAGCUUGCUCCACCGGAAAAAGAGGAGUGGUGAACGGGUGAGUAACACGUGGGUAACCUGCACAUCAGAAGGGGAUAACACUUGGAAACAGGUGCUAAUACCGUAUAACACUCGAAACCGCCUGGUUUUGAUUCGAAAGGAGCUUUCGGUUUGCGCUGAUGGAUUGACCCGCGGUGCAUUAGCUAGAUGGUGAGGUAACGGCCCACCAAGGCCACGAUGCAUAGCCGACCUGAGAGGGUGAUCGGCCACAUUGGGACUGAGACACGGCCCAAACUCCUACGGGAGGCAGCAGUAGGGAAUCUUCGGCAAUGGACGAAAGUCUGACCGAGCAACGCCGCGUGAGUGAAGAAGGUUUUCGGAUCGUAAAACUCUGUUGUUAGAGAAGAACAAGGAUGAGAGUAACUGUUCAUCCCUUGACGGUAUCUAACCAGAAAGCCACGGCUAACUACGUGCCAGCAGCCGCGGUAA